UAUUAAGUGAGCAGAGAUUUAUAAAAACAAGAAGCUUUGCUUUAAUGUGUAGAGAACUAUGCACACUUAUAUAUCAUUGAUGGGAAAUAAUUUGUACAACAAUAUUGAGAACAAUUCAGCAAUACCUUUCAAGUGCCUCUCAUCAUUCAAAUUCGGUAAUUCCAAUUCUAAUUUAUUCAAAAUAAAUAGAGAUGCAUGUAAAGAUUAAUAUACUAUGGUCUUCAUUACAUUUUUAAAAUUAAAUCUUUAUUGCUGAAAGUAUUACAUAUUGAUACUGGAACCAGUGAGCAGGAAUUCUUUCUAGGGUCGUGUCUCACAGAAUUAAAGAAUGAAGCCAUUGGACCAGCCGGAGGAGUUCAACAAAGCAGGAGUUUAUUGCAAACAAACCCAGGCUCCCUGCUCAGAUUCCACAUAUGAGUGAGACUAACCUACCCCAGGAUGGUGUGGAAUACAGCACAUUCAUCUGUCACCCAGCCGCCAUCCUGGUUCCAAGGCUGCAUCUCUCCACUGGACUGAUGAGAGAGUUGUCAGUGUUUUGCUCCUGGGCCUACUUCCAGCUGUGUGUUUGAAUCCUUCUGCGAUGGACUACUCCCUGGCUGUGGUCCUCUCUCUAAAUAGUCACUGGGGCCUUGGACAAGUUGUUACUAUGUUCAAAAGGAUGCAUUGCAGAAAUCUGCCAAGGCAGGCCUCUUGGCACUCUCGGUUUUCACUUUUGCUGGGCUUUGUUAUUUCAACCAUCACAAUGUGGACAUCUGCAAAGCUGUUGCCAUGCUGGGGAAGCUCUGACCUUGACUUACUACCUUGAAAAUUGAUUGUACAUCUCUUUGCCUCUGCUUUGUCAUGCCAUUCAUCUCACAAUAAGGAGGAAAUAAUAGAUAAGUCCACUGGUUAGAUAAAUCUCUUCUCUUAAUCAUCUGGUUAGUUUUAGAAUUUAAUCUGUAAAGAAAAGGUUUGAGAGGAAUUGUAUCCAAGAAAUUGUGAGACAGAGUUCCACAUUCUGGCGAGUGAAUGAGGUUGUCCUCCAGCUUCUCAAGACUCACAAUGUAACUGAACAUUAUAUAUGAGCUUUUGCAUUAUAAUUUACUGGACUCUUAAAGGGAAUUCAGUUUUAUUACUCUCAAUACCUAAUCAAACUGCUAUAUUUGUCCUAGGAGUUAAGGACAAAGGAAAAACUAUAAAUUCAUAAGUAAAGACUGCAGAAACUUAUGCAUCACUUAAUGUUUGAAAACUUUCCCCCUUUAUUUAGUUGAUACCAGUUACUGAUGGUUAUAUGUCUUUGGGAAACUUAAAGUUAGGAAAUGCUCAUAUUUCACAUUACUAAUUUCUAAAGCCUGGGUAAAAGAGCCUGGAGAACUUCUCAAUAUAGAGAAGUUCCAUGCAGGGAAGAGGUACCCUUGUAGAGGUAUCAAAAUAUUACAUGUUCUAAACUGAGAUUUAACUCCUCAAAUACGUUCAUUUUACUUGUCCCAAAAUAAUAUCCACAAAUAUAAAACUUUAAAUAACAAAUUGUUAUUUUUCCCACUGUGAGAAUCUUUAAUGUGAAAUGUAUUCUGUGAAAAUAAAGUUUUUU